CCUACGGGUGGCAGCAGUGGGGAAUAUUGCUCAAUGGGCGAAAGCCUGACGCAGCGACGCCGCGUGAGGGAUGAAGGUCUUCGGAUCGUAAACCUCUGUCAGCAGGGAAGAACGGUCACUGUGCUAAUCAGCAUUGAAUUGACGGUACCUACAAACGAAGCACCGGCUAACUCCGUGCCAGCAGCCGCGGUAAUACGGAGGGUGCGAGCGUUAAUCGGAAUUACUGGGCGUAAAGCGCGCGUAGGCGGUAUGUCAAGUCAAGGGUGAAAUCCCGGCGCUCAACGUGGGAACUGCCUUUGAAACGGGCAAACUGGAGUGUGUGAGAGGAUAGGGGAAUUCCAGGUGUAGGAGUGAAAGCCGUAGAUAUCUGGAGGAACAUGAGUGGCGAGGCGACUAUCUGGCACAUAACUGACGCUGAGGAGCGAAAGCGUGGGUAGCAAACAGGAUUAGAUACCCCAGUAGUC
rnacentral:rRNA from 1 species